rnacentral:rRNA from 1 species
UAGGGAAUCUUCCGCAAUGGACGAAAGUCUGACGGAGCAACGCCGCGUGAGUGAAGAAGGAUUUCGGUUCGUAAAACUCUGUUGUUAGGGAAGAAAAAAUGUAUAGUAACUAUAUACAAAAGAGACGGUACCUAACCAGAAAGCCACGGCUAACUACGUGCCAGCAGCCGCGGUAAUACGUAGGUGGCAAGCGUUGUCCGGAAUUAUUGGGCGUAAAGCGCGCGCAGGUGGUUUAGAAAGUCUGAUGUGAAAGCCCACGGCUCAACCGUGGAGGGUCAUUGGAAACUAAUAAACUUGAGUGCAGGAGAGAAAAGUGGAAUUCCUAGUGUAGCGGUGACAUGCGUAGAGAUUAGGAGGAACACCGGUGGCGAAAGCGGCUUUUUGGCCUGCAACUGACACUGAGGCGCGAAAGCGUGGGGAGCAAACAGG